rnacentral:rRNA from 1 species
AUUGAACGCUGGCGGCAUGCUUUACACAUGCAAGUCGAACGGUAACAGGCCGCAAGGUGCUGACGAGUGGCGAACGGGCGAGUAAUGCAUCGGGACGUGCCCAGUCGUGGGGGAUAACUACUCGAAAGAGUAGCUAAUACCGCAUACGAUCUAUGGAUGAAAGCGGGGGACCGUAAGGCCUCGCGCGAUUGGAGCGGCCGAUGUCAGAUUAGGUAGUUGGUGGGGUAAAGGCUCACCAAGCCAACGAUCUGUAGCUGGUCUGAGAGGACGACCAGCCACACUGGGACUGAGACACGGCCCAGACUCCUACGGGAGGCAGCAGUGGGGAAUUUUGGACAAUGGGCGCAAGCCUGAUCCAGCAAUGCCGCGUGCAGGAAGAAGGCCUUCGGGUUGUAUACUGCUUUUGUACGGAACGAAACGGCUCUGGUUAAUACCCGGGGCUAAUGACGGUACCGUAAGAAUAAGCACCGGCUAACUACGUG